rnacentral:rRNA from 1 species
GACAGAGGGUGCAAACGUUGUUCGGAAUUACUGGGCGUAAAGCGCGUGUAGGCGGCAAGGCAAGUCGGGUGUGAAAGCCCUGGGCUCAACCCAGGAAGUGCAUUCGAUACUGCCAAGCUAGAGUCCCGGAGAGGAUGGUGGAACUCUCGGUGUAGAGGUGAAAUUCGUAGAUAUCGAGAAGAACACCGGUGGCGAAGGCGGCCAUCUGGACGGUGACUGACGCUGAGACGCGAAAGCCAGGGGAGCGAACGGG